UUGACCUUGGAUCAGG
rnacentral:rRNA from 1 species